AAAGGGUUCCUGUCCAAGGAUCAUCCGGGCAGGGUUAGUCGGCCCCUAAGACGAAGCAGAAAUGCGUAGCCGAUGGGAGACGGGUUAAUAUUCCCGUACCACUGACACAGAGCAGAGCGGGGACGGAGAAGGCUAGGGUAGCCACCUGAUGGAUGGUGGUUCAAUCCAGUAGGCUGUCUGCUUAGGAAUAAAACGAGCGGAUAAGGCCGAGAGGGUAUGUCGAAGAGACCUCGGUCUCGAAGUACCUGAUGCCAUGCUUCCAAGAAAAGCCGCGGGCUGCGAUGAAGUGUUGGUGACCGUACCGCAAACCGACUCAGGUGGGCAGGUGGAGAACGCCGAGGCGCUAGGGAGAACACUGGUUAAGGAACUAGGCAAAUUAAUACCGUAACUUCGGGAUAAGGUAUGCCAGUUAGGUGAAGGGCCUGCGCCUGGAGCCAAGACUGGUCACAGCAAAGCGGCGGUAGCGACUGUUUACCAAAAACACAGGUCUCUGCAAAGUCGUAAGACGAUGUAUAGGGGCUGACGCCUGCCCGGUGCCGGAAGGUUAAGAGGAGCUGUCAGCGCAAGCAAAGCAGCGAAUUGAAGCCCCGGUAAACGGCGGCCGUAGCUAUAACGGUCCUAAGGUAGCGAAAUCCCUUGUCGGGUAAGUUCCGACCUGCACGAAAGGCGUAACGACUUCCGCGCUGUCUCAACCAGUGGCCCUGCGAAAUUGACGUUGGGGUGAAGAUGCCCCAUACCCGCAGAAAGACGGAAAGACCCUGUGAACCUUUACUCUAGCUUGGCAGUGACAUUCGACAUUAUCUGUGUAGCAUAGGUGGGAGGCGUUGAGUUCGGCGCGCUAGCGUCGAAGGAGCCACCGUUGAAAUACCACCCUGAUGAUGUUGGCUGUCUAACUUCGAAAGAAGGACACUGCCUGGUGGGGAGUUUGACUGGGGCGGUCGCCUCCCAAACAGUAACGGAGGCGCGCGAUGGUUCUCUCAGCCUGAUCGGAAACCAGGCGUAGAGUGCAAAGGCAUAAGAGAGCUUGACUGCGAGACGGACACGUCGAGCAGGUUCGAAAGAAGGCCUUAGUGAUCCGGCGGUCCCAUAUGGAAGGGCCGUCGCUCAACGGAUAAAAGGUACUCCGGGGAUAACAGGCUUAUCACGCCCAAGAGUUCACAUCGACGGCGUGGUUUGGCACCUCGAUGUCGGCUCGUCGCAUCCUGGGGCUGGAGCAGGUCCCAAGGGUUUGGCUGUUCGCCAAUU
rnacentral:rRNA from 1 species